UUGAAUAUAGAUAGAUAGAUAGAUAGAUAGAUAGAUAGAUAGAUAGAUAGAUAGAUAGAUGAGUUUGAUGAUAGAUAGAUAGAUAGAUAGAUAGAUAGAUAGAUAGAUAGAUAGAUAGAUAGAUAGAUUAGUUUUAAUAUAGAUAGAGAAGUUUGAUAGAUAGAUAGAUAGAUAGAUAGAUAGAUAGAUAGAUAGAUAGAUUAGUUUUAAUAUAGAUAGAGAAAUGAGUUUGAAUAUAGAUAGAUAGAUAGAUGAGUUUGAUUAUAGAUAGAUGAGUUUGAUUAUAGAUAGAUAGAUAGAUAGAUAGAUAGAUGAGUUUGAUUAUAGAUAGAUAGAUGAGUUUGAUUAUAGAUAGAUAGAAACAGUUAGAUAGAUAGAUAGAUAGAGUUUGAUUAUAGAUAGAUAGAUAGAUAGAUAGAUAGAUAGAUAGAUAGAUAGAUAGAUAGAUAGAUAGAUAGAUAGAUAGAUGAAUAUAUAUGAUAUGAUAGAUGAGUUUGAAUGGGUUAGUAAUAGUACAUACAAUAUGUACAUAGUACAUAGACUAUGAGUUUAAUGGGCUUCAGUGUGUUUAGAUUUGAAUUUUUGACAGUUGGAGUUUGACGGAAUGUUCAGUUGAGCAGAGGCUUUUCAAUGUAAGUCUAUGGGAGUUUUUAUGAUUUUUAAUCUUCAGUUUUAUGAAAAGUCUAAGUCCGAUCAGUCUAAAAAGAUAUAGCAACUAACUUCAGAUCAGUCUGAAGAGCUGGGCUGAGUUUGGAGUUUGUAGAGUUAAAGCUCUAGGAGGAGUAGCAGUCAAAAUUUUAGUCUCAGAAGAAUAAUAAUAACUAGAUAAAAAAGUUCGUCAAGACAAACUUUAAGUUGGCUUGAGAAAGCCUGGCCAGUUUAAAGAGUUUAAAAUUAAAUUUUAAGUUAAGUUAAAAAGUUUGAUAAUUGCUAUGCAGUUGCUAGGGUACCCGGAGUGGUUGCUAAGGUGUUGCUAUGUGGUUGCUAGGGUACCCUGAGUGGUUGCUAGGGUGUUGCUAUGCGGUUGCUAGGGUACCUGGGAUGGUUGCUAGGGUGUUGCUAUGCGGUUGCUAGGGUACCCUGAGUGGUUGCUAAGGUGUUGCUAUGCGGUUGCUAGGUUACCUGGGAUGGUUGCUAGGGUGUUGCUAUGCGGUUGCUAGGGUACCCUGAGUGGUUGCUAAGGUGUUGCUAUGCGGUUGCUAGGGUAUCUGGGAUGGUUGCUAGGGUGUUGCUAUGCGGUUGCUAGGGUACCCCGAGUGGUUGCUAAGGUGUUGCUAUGCGGUUGCUAGGGUAUCUGGGAUGGUUGCUAGGGUGUUGCUAUGCGGUUGCUAGGGUACCCUGAGUGGUUGCUAAGGUGUUGCUAUGCGGUUGCUAUGGUAUCUGGGAUGGUUGCUAGGGUGUUGCUAUGCGGUUGCUAGGGUACCCUGAGUGGUUGCUAAGGUGUUGCUAUGCGGUUGCUAGGGUAUCUGGGAUGGUUGCUAGGGUGUUGCUAUGAGGUUGCUAGGGUACCCUGAGUGGUUGCUAAGGUGUUGCUAUGCGGUUGCUAGGGUAUCUGGGAUGGUUGCUAGGGUGUUGCUAUGCGGUUGCUAGGGUACCCUGAGUGGUUGCUAAGGUGUUGCUAUGCGGUUGCUAGGGUAUCUGGGAUGGUUGCUAGGGUGUUGCUAUGCGGUUGCUAGGGUACCCUGAGUGGUUGCUAAGGUGUUGCUAUGCGGUUGCUAGGGUAUCUGGGAUGGUUGCUAGGGUGUUGCUAUGCGGUUGCUAGGGUACCCUGAGUGGUUGCUAAGGUGUUGCUAUGUGGUUGCUAGGAUACCCUGGGUGGUUUCUAGGUUGGUUUGGAUAGUUGCUAGAGUGUUGCUAUGAAGAUAGAUAGAUAGAUAGAUAGAUAGAUAGAUAGAUAGAUAGAUAGAUAGAUUAGAAACAGUCAGAUUAUAGAUAGAUAGAUAGAUUAGAAACAGACAGAUUAUAGAUAGAUAGAUAGUUUAGAAGCAGACAGAUUAUAGAUAGAUAGAUAGAUAGAUAGAUAGAUAGAUAGAUAGAUAGAUAGAUAGAUAGAUAGAUUAGAAACAGUCUGAUUAUAGAUAGAU